ACCGACGAUUUCUAGCUUAUUUCAGAAAAAAUAUCUUGCCUAACACAAUUUAGGGCUGGUUUCCAAUCUCUCCUGAGAAGGCUGAGCCUAUCAGAGCUGUGAAGCUUAAUAAAGGCUAGGAUCAAAAAUAAACAAGCAAAAAACCGCUAACUCCCAAACCCAAACUGUUUAGCAAAAUCCAGAAUGAUAAGUUGUUUUUGUAGGUGCUUCCGAACAAAGGGGUCUUUGUGGAAGGAUUCCCAGGCAGUGUUCAGGGGAAAUCAUAGAGCAGCAUGAUGUAGACCACUUUAAGCAGACAAUCUGUGUUGCGUGGGACAAUGAGCCAUCAGGAGCAGGUUGAAUAGUUUGGUAUAAUGGUCUCCUAUUUAUAAGUUUCCUGUCUCAUUAGUGUAUUUCCUACUUAAUCUGUAGCCUCUGAAACAGGGAACUCUGUCCAGCAUGCCUGUAGUUGUGGAGAUGUCAGCACUUGGCAGCUCAUUGUAUUGUGGUAAAGUUUUAUUUUAUGUAUAACAGAAAAAUAUAGGAGACAUGAGCAAAUGCACUCCAUGCCACAGACUGUUUGGCUUUUCCAUGUGUGUUUUUUUAAGUGUCUAUUUGUAAGUAUAUUGAGGAUAGGAGACUUUGGAGAAUACACUUUCCAGGGGUGAGGCUGGGUGGUCCUACACAUUCAGGUGUACGUGGGGCUCUCCUGCAUAUUAGUUUUGUCUCAAAACAGGCAUUCCAGGGGAGUGGUCCUCCAAAAACCAUCUCUUUGUCUUUCUUCUGCUGCUCCUCCGGCCAUCUGUUCUGUUCUCAUCGCCACAAUUGUCUGCACCCAAACCCUGUCCUCCUCCAUUUAACAGCCUAGUGGCCUGUGCUGGCCGUUCUCACCUGCCUGCUCCCCGGCAGCUCCUAGCCCCGCUCUCCUCGGCGUGGCGGGGAGCAGAGCAGGAUCCGUGCCCUGCACAGCCUGGGACCUGCACAGCUUUGCAGCCUGCUCGGCUGUUCUUCACACGUCUCCCAAGUGCUAAGUGAGAAGAACACAAGAACAAAGUGCGUGAAGAGAAAUCACCUUGCGAAGCUGGCACAGUGGAUGCAAGUCUGGAAGAGCGAUGCCGUUGCUGCUGCCCGGGCUGCGUGUCUUCGCUAAAUGUGUGUUGGUGCCUCGAGGCAAAGGCAAGUGGGUGCUGUGUUUGCCUGAAGUGAGAGCUCGACAAUGAGCAAAGAGUGGGAAACUGGGACACCUGAAGCUCAAGUGACGUUCAACAGCAUGGAGAGAAUCUGUUUGUUUGGAAACAAAGCACAGAUAUCUGAGUACAAUCCAUCUCCUGACCCGCAGUGUGCACUUUUCUUCCUAAUGUAAUGAAUUUCCCAAACAAUAAGAUGUUCCCAGUUGAGGUGGAGGGAGUGUUACCUCUUGAUCGUAUCAUUCACUUCUGUCAACAAGUCACACGAGAGGCUCACUUACUAAAAAGCAAGGAAACCAGAAGUAAUCACAUGUCCCAUUUGCUUUGCUUACUGCAGAAGCUGAACUAAGGGUUUAGGGCAUGUGAGUAGGCAUUAGAAGAGCGUGCAACUUUCCCUCUGAGAACAGGCUUUCAGGAUUGCUGCAGUUGUCAUCUUCGUUCUUUCAGUUUGGCUAGAUUUUUGCCAGUUGAAGCAAUAGGAAAAUCCGAGACUGACAGUAUUUUUUAACACGACUUGAAGUCCUGUGUAAUAGGCUCCAUCAGAAAAAUAGUCACUUUUUUUUUGCCAUCACAGCUGUAAUGCAAUUUCAUGUGGUGUCCUUAAGAUUGCUACACACACUAUAAUUUCUCAUACACAGCUGUCAGCAAUAACCUUUUGUGGCAGCAGAGAGAAAAAUUCCCUGAAAUACAUAUUUGUCUAACAUGUACUUGUAGACCUUAAAUCCUGUCUAACCACAUACACCUGUGUUUCUCUGAUCUCUGGUGCAGUGGAGGAUUGUGCUUUUUGCUUGUAGGUAGAGCAGAAGCCUUGCAAGUAGGAUCUCGGAGGGGAUUUGCAGUCCAGCUUAGAUUCUGCUCGGACUUGGCACCCUCUGCAGUCCUACAUAUGCAGAGUAACAUAAAAUAAUUUCUGUUCCUAUCGUUCGGUUUUCCUUCUUUGAUUCUGAACGCAAAUAACAGUUUAACCUAAUGAGAAGUCAGAGGAAAAACCCUAAAAAGAUGGUACAAGUCAAGGACAGAUGGGGGUGGCACAACUCACAUGAAUACCAAACACCCAGCGGUGGGUAUUUCGUUUCCUGCUGCCUCUCCUACUGUCGCAGACCAAUUUAUAUUUUGCACCUCAACAGGAGAUGCCCCAUUGUGGGCAGAAACUUUUAAUGAUCCUCAGCUUCCCAUGUGCUGCUCUGGAAGCAAGCUCUCAAGAAUGAGGAAGAUUUUGCAACAUAUUAUUCCUAUAAAUAAAAAUGUAUUUCUCACCAGGAAUUCUAUCUGGUUACUCUCCCACAUUUUAACACUGUUUUUUCUUCUCUUCUGGAUAUGCUUUACUCCUUGUUCAUGUCCUUUUAUCCUUUUCAGGCAUCUCUUUGUCUUAGGAACUCCAAUAAACCGUAGUAAUGGCAGAGGGAUUUUAUUUCCUUGAAUUGUGGAAAGGUUCUUCUGAGUUUCCUUCUACUUAGGGAGCAGUAAUGAGUCAUUCCAACCUGUAAUUGAUGCUUUGUCUGACCAGGAAGGUGGACAUUAUGUGAUGGGAAGGCUCCAGGUGGCCAGCUGCUCACCGUAAUGGCCACAGCUGCACGUCAUGCAGUACCCCGGCAGUACAGAGGUUGUAGCUGUGGAAGCAUUUUUGGCUGAUCCACGUUUCAAAAAGUGCUGUCAGAGGACAGGCCCUAGCAGCAUUCAAACCCACGUUGGCAAUUUAUGCAAAAAACCUGUCGGUCUCUGACGGCGCAGCAGCAUUUGGGUUUCGGCUGGGAUCAGCAGUGAGCUUUUGGUGAGAUCUGGCUGUCUGCAGCUCUGUCUUGGCAUUCAUCUUGAGGUGGUCGUGGUGUGCGUGAGCUGGAUUCCUUUCCGAUAGCACUAAGGUAGGAGAUGCACUUGAGGUGUGCUCAUGAUGACCAACAGCUGCAAUGAUGAGUCCAAAGUCUGGAAAAAAAGAACCAACAAAACUCCAUCAUUGAAUGCGUAUAACAUUGCUGUCAGGUCCUCCUGCUGCUAACAGAUGUGCCCUUCCUGCUCCCUGGAGGAGGUGGUACCUGAGACAUGAGGUCAGCUCAGCACGGUGCGGAGUUUGCUGCGCUAACUGCAGGUAUUGCCCCGGGUCUGGAGCAUGAGCAAAAGUUCCUGCACCAUCUGGCUGAGGUCUGAGUCACUGGGCCUUAUAAAGAGGAGAGCCACAGUUAUUAACUUGAGUUUUACAUACACAAUAAAACUAGCACAAGAAUGACCUCAAAAAACUAUUUUGUGGGAAUUGUUGUGUGAAAUGAAAGGUUUUACACAGAAAUGUGACUGGCCAGGCUCUCCACACAGCAUCGAGAACAGUCCCACCAGACAUCUGACAAUGAGUUCAGAAUGGAUUUAGAAAUACAGGGUAAGGUGAAGGUGGGAAGGGAUGGAGAACUUUCUGAAACCUAUUUCACGGAGCUUGCCUGGCAUUUUUCACUUUUAAGUUCUGCAUUUGAAAUAAUGUUCAACGCAGCUGAGGAAAGACCGAGAGAAGGGUGCCCGGGGAGACUCCCCCACGAAGUUUGCCGAGCCUGACGAAGCUCAGUGCCCCGCACCCCUGGCUGCAGCAGGUCUGUCUCUGUUGAACUGGAGCUCCACACAGCUCAGAAGCAGACCCGGUGUUAUGUACGACGAUGGUGCCAGUGCCGUGGUUGGCAGCGCAGGACGGGGCCUUAGCACGUGUCUAAGCGCAUGGCCCGAGGCACACCAGGGAGGUUUUGCAAUUCUGUCCUCACUUGAUGCUCAAUGUGAUCACAGCUGUGGGGCUGUGUGGAGGAGACAGCAUACUCGCGGAGCGGUAGUGGUUCUGAAGGGAUCACGUGUCAGUCAGAUGUCUAAUUGCAUCGGUUAAAUUAUUAAAUUACAUUAAUGAUCAGAUCUCUUUGGAUUGAAGCUGACAGUUAGCUUGGCUCACAAGGAAACUGUCCCUCGAGUAGGGACGUGGCAUCACAAAGUGGUCUGUCCCUUUUUAUGGAGCACCUGUUUGGCUACCUUAGAAUCACAGAAAAACAGGUUAAUUCAGCUUGGAAGGGACCUCUGGAAGCGUUUGGUUUAAGCCCCCACUCAGAGCAAACUGAAGUGUGAUCAGGUUGCUGGAGGUAAUGCCGCAAGGCGCUAGGGGAGCGAAGCUGCCCCGUGAUUUUGGUGCAGAGGCCAGACUUGAAGCUGUGAGAAGAUGAACUUCAGUGAAGCUCUGUAGCCCGAGGUAGAUGGUGCUCAUCGUGGAUAAGAAUCUCCCAGUCUUUCUCAUCCUAUGUUAGUGGGAUUAGCUGUCUGGUGAGCCAAGUUUGCUGUAGGAGGAAGACUUCACGCUGAGAUAAGAUCAGCUACAGAGAGACUCACUUGACAGAGCUGAGUCGUGGUUCAUUUUGUGCUUUGGCUGAUAGCGUACAUGUUGCCUACACGGAGCUGCCCUGCUGAGAGGCCUUGCUGGAUUUCUGAAACUCGUACACCUUCCCGAGUCUCAGUUUUCCUCACUUGCCAGUUUAGCCCACUUUUACUCCCCAGAUCGUGGCUCCAGCACUCCCUGUAGCUGUUGUUUUUUUUUUAAUGCUUCCAUUUUAUGUAUGUAGUACUUCAGCAGCAUAUGGCUAUCAAGCACAGAGCUCUGCAGAUCGUAAGGCUCUGUAUUUUGUUAUGGUUUGUUUAGAGGGACUUCAAGGAAACAAUUUCCUGCAGGUUGCUUGUAGAAGGAGCUUGCUUUGCUUAGUUUCUUUAUAUGCAGUUUAACUUGACUUUUACCUGACGUGCAGAUGGACGUUGACAGUAUGCGGAGAUGGUCAAAAGGAGAAAUAAAACUGCUUGCAAAUGCUCUCUGCAAUGUGUUUCUGCUCUGAGAAGUAAUUACGUGAACUUGACCUGGUUGAUCUCCCUGAGACCAGGUCUGCUGCUGUCAGUGGGGUGGUUUCUGUUGGAGUGGUCUUCCUGGCUGCUCUCGGAGGGAACAAAGUCAGUUUGGGAUUUUAUCAGUACAUUUUUUAUUUUUUUAUUUUUGCAAGUUCUAAUUGCAGGAAUACCUCAGGCUCUCCUGUGCCUUCAGGACAUGGUUGACAGCACUGCACAGGUGUGACUGAGAUACUGAUAAGCAAGUGAAAUGAUAUGGAUGCAGAAGUUUCCCAAAAACAGAAAUAACAUAAUUUUGCUGGGAUGACAGAUGGAACAAAACUUCGUAAAUAUAGACGGAGAAAGCUUUGGAAGCUAUUACAGAAUGCCAGCAGCACUGCCCCCUCCUCUUCUCUGUACUCCAUGCUGACUUGUAAGUGAUCUGCAUGGGCUCUGGUAUCCCUAAAUUAAGGAAUUGAGAGCACCAUUGAGCAUAGGACUGCUGCUUUGAACAAAAGAAAGAAGCUGAAAGAAACCCUGAGGAAGGGAGUUUGUGCAGCAUCAGGACUGGAAGUGUGCGACCUCCUCAGGCUUGGUGAGUUGGCAGUCGCCGACUGGUGCUACAAGACUGAAAUUAAGAGAACAUUAAUGGCAAGGCAUAAAGAAAUCCAGGGACAUGGUGUGCGGCCAGGGGUCAGCCAGACCCAUGGGCUUGGCUGAUCAGCGCUCAGCCCGUGUUCAGUUGGCUCUGCUGAGAGCAGCUUCUGCUGAGACCAGUGCUUAAAAUACAUCCAAAUCGGUUGUACCUCAUGUUGAGAAACAGCCAAGUGGAAAGGGAGGGCGUUCUGCUAUCUGCUAGCUGAAGGGGGAGCAGAAACGACGGGCCCAGCGAGCGCCGGGCGUGGGGAAUCGGCAUGGACGGGGCUCACCAGGUGGCAGGCAGCAGAGCUCUGCGAGGAGCAAGGAGAUGAUACAAGCUGCUCUUCUGAGCCCCAGGAAAAGGUAGUGGAGGAGCUGCUCCCUCCCCCGGUAAUUGGAUGACUUUCAUUUCUGCUUGAUUUAAUUGACUUGACCUCCACAGGAGCUGGUCUUUGGGCUGUUGCCUCGUUUGCCCCUAAGAUCUCUCUGCAGCUACUGAAGGAUGCGCAAAGGAGAGGGGAAGGGUGCUGUGUGCUCCUCCAAAGGCUGGGUUGAGAUGCAGGAACCUUGAAAUAAAGUCAGAACACAACCUUCUAAUAAGAAUUCAUCUGUGAAAACAGACUUCUCCCUGCAGCUGCUCAGUGGAGCAGGUGAAACACAGAGCCGGUGAUGGCUCUGCCCUGCGUGCCUCUGAGAGGGUUCAGUCACAGAGAGCUCGAGGGCACCCUGGCUGCUGAGCUAAGAGACAAGCUCCAGCUUCAGCUAAUUUCAGAGGUGCAGCAAAUUCCUUUUCCCAGUGCUUCCAAAUGUGGGGAUUGAUGAAGAAGAGGUUCUGUGACUUCUGAGGCUGGUGUUCUCUGUUACGAGCACUGACGAGGUACUUAGCAGUUUUACACAGCUGCAUAACAUUUUGGUUUUCCCUUCUGAAACGGAAGUUGUUCCAGGUCCUUUUCUGGAAAUAGCAGCCAUGUAGUGCAGAAAAGAAAAAAUAAAUUCUGGGUAUCAGCAUGAGCAGCUGCUGAAUGUUGGAAAAUAAAAAGGAAGCCCAAAUGGGCAGAGUCUGGAGGGGUCAGGCACUGUCUGAAAAGAGCUGAUUUCCCACUGGCUUAUACUUUGGAUUUAAGAAGGUCAGUCUGGCUUGUGUCACAGCAUCAGACUGAUCAGUGCACGUUCUGAAACAGCCUUGUUCUGUGCAUGCAUUAGCCUGCAUCAGCCCAUCACCGAGUCUGUCUCCUUACAUGAAGUUUUAGAGGAGGACUGAAGAAUGCCCUUACGGCAGACAGAGAUGGGCUCAGAUCUGCUCCAACCAGCAGAGUGCCCCCUGAACUGGUUAAUUUGUACUAUAUAACUGUCUAGAAUAGGCGUGCAGAAAAUUUUUUAACUUAUUCUGAUUAUUUGGGAAUGUAAGUGAUAAAGUAGUCUUUGAUAUAGUCGUGAUUUCACUGAAUGUGAAAUAAAGUACUGCUUUUAUCCAAGGGAGUUUGUAACAUCUUUUGUGCCCCGCGCGAUGGCAGGAAGGCACUUCUCUGCUUUGCCUAGUUUAUUGCUUUCUCUCACCCAUGAAGAGAUUUUCGGUAUGAAAGUAUUGCUAAUUUACCAAUGUCGUGAAAAGAAUUCAUCCAGAAUUGCUUGUUGAAAAUGAUCAGUGUGGCCCUAAGCAGGCAGUAAAUAGUACCCUACAAUGUUGCCCAAGGGGCUGAGCUAGCUGAAUUGAAAAUUUUACGCAGUUGUUAAUGACUUUGAGGAUUGUGAUGCCAUACUCUUUUUGAAGCAUUUGAAUCUUUGGCAGUGCUGGAAAGGGAAGUAAGUCAGCCUUGUUCUGGUGGCUUAGAAUCUGCUUCUAUCUCACAGAUCGCCUAGGAGAUUAGAGGAGAGAAGCCUGCCGUGCAGUGAGCACUGCAGUAAUGGGUACUCCUUGUUAAUGCUUCAGGAACGCUUCCAUAGGGUGACGUUAUCGUCUGGGCAGAUUUUUAGAGUAUGAGAAACUUCUUGACCAUUUUUUCUGGGAGUUGCAAUUCUGCUUUGUGUAGAAGAAGACUCGGAAGCCCAUAUAAGAGAAGGAAGCUCUGUGUGCUGUUGAUCCCCAGCAGAUGAAGCUGGGAAGAUGUGGUCUGGCCAGGCUGCACGUGCAUGUACAGAGGGCUCAUUCCCCUCUUGCCUCCUGUUGGAAAACUGCAGAGCAGAGCAAGGUUGGGGGCUGCAGAGCAAGGCGGGGGGCUGCAGACCAUAAGCCAAGCCAGGGCUUGCAGUCAUCCCAAAGAUUUUCUGCAGAUUGGACUGUUACUGCCCUGUGCUGGUUAAUUUUGUGUCAUUCCUCUUCCUCCUUCCCUUGCAGGUCUUUGCACCUCAGUUUCAUUCCUCUUGAGCACGUCUUACCCUUUUCCUUGGGAGUCCCCUCCUGCCCUUCCUAUUUAUUUAUGUUGCAUUGAAUUUUCUCCGUUACCUAAAUUAUGGCAGCAUUACGCUGCUUGUUUCCACCAGCUUGUUUGUUCUGCUGGCCUAUUUUACACUUCCCCCCAGGUACAGAAGUACAGAAGCUAUGUACCUCAUUACAUAGCGCUCUCUGUUGCUCUGCUCAGUGCUUAGCACAGUGUGCCCCUGUUCUCGGCUACCUCUUAGGAUCCAAGCCUGGAAAAGUUAAAAUUUCUCAACAGCAGUCAUGCCUCAGGAUGGCUAGGUAGGAUGGAUGUAGCCCACUGCUCAGGAGCAGGCUGCAUGAACAUUUGUAAAAAUGUGAAGGACAAGGUAAGGAUCCAGAUCCUUUCCCUUUUCAUCCAGCAAAAGGACCCUCUGCUUUGGUCAGCACUGCUGGCAGAAGCUCCAUUAUAAAUGCCUUCCAAGAGAGACUGUGAAACAUCUAGAGACCACAGUAGACCGCAGUAUCUGUCGCUUCAUUUUUUUUUUUCUAAGAGUCUGGGGAACUCCUUAAGAGGUCCCCAACGCUGGAAAACUUCCAAGUACUCCUAAGAGAGUAUAAUGAGGCUUUAGCUUUGAGGAAUCGCAUUCUCAAAUGGGGGAGGCUGUUUCCAUUCUUGCCAGAGGAUUUGGCAGUCGUUGCAUCUCGAUGGGACUGUCACCCAUUUCAGUUCGACAGCACAAAGGCUUCUUUCAGACCGGUCUUUGUAAUAUAGGAUGUGCAGAUGGGUGUCUGGGCAGCACGGAAAAAGCUUUUGCUGAGGGCUAGAGGAUGAGGAGAGCAACCAAAGAAUUCGUUUUUAGUCCCGUUCUCUGCACAUUUUAAAAAUGACUGCAUUGCUAACUGGUGUUGCCUGUUGCCCGGAGAGCGCCGGGUCACCUCUAAGGCAGUAACGUCGUCUCUUCUACAUGCUAAACUUGCAGACUCUUCAGGCUGCGGCACCCGAAUUUCCCUCAGGUGUACUGAACAUUUCAGGUGAUGAUUGACCGCUCUCCCUGAUAUUUGUAUGAUUAUUAGUCUCUUCUCUGUGUGCUAUUCAGCGGACAGCACCGAUCGUAAAAAGCAGAUAGGAGCAAGUUGGGCUGCUGCCCCUGGUGAGUAGGAGAGAGGAUGGGCUGAUUGAUGACCCUUGGCUGUUUUCUGAUGUUGCAGUUGUUUUUUAUGAUGUCAUUAGGAGGCUAUAGUCACAUUAAGGAAUCCCUCAUGACAUCAUAAAGGACUUGAUAUUUCGCUAAUGUUAUUUCAGCGGAGUGAAGCUCUGGCAUUUUAUAGUCUUUGCUCUCCCCAUAGAAUUAGGAGUUGUCUAACUACAACCUGGAAGAAAUGCAAAAAUAGUCAAAUGCCGACUUCAAAAGUUAUGGUUGAAGAAUGCUAAUAUAUUUGACUCUUUCUGAGCGCACAGCACCUUUAGGUGGAAUACAUGAUGUGUUUAUAAAAGAUGCCAUCAGUGAACACAGAUCCUCAUGCAAAGGAAGAAGCAGGCGUGCCUUCCACUUUCUUUGAUGCACAAAAAAGAAACAAAUUUGCAUAUCUGUAAAGGAGGAGUGUGGAGUUUGGAGCAGUGUGCCAGCGAACAGCAGUGGGAUUUGGGUGGCUGGCGCUUUGGCAGCCUGGCUGGGUGCCAUGCAGACAGUUGAUGACACUCCUGAGCCAGCACAGCGCCUGACCAAGCUGAAGUUCCCAAAGCCAUCAAGCCUGAAACCAUCACCAAGCAUCUACUGGGCAAAAGCAAGCCAACAACAGGACCUUGUGGCUCUGUUCAGAAGUGAGUUGGCUGUAGAAGUCUGUAUCAGAAGGUUUCAUGACCUCUUUCAUGACCCUUCUAUUUUGAUGAGGCCUCUGAUAGCCAUGAAAAGUCCGGUUCAGGUACCUGCUACUCAGACAUUCCUUCAUCCUGGAGCCAGGUUUCUCCCUUCCUCCCUGUUUUAAGAAAGUGGAUGCUUUAUUCCUGUCACAGUGAGGGAAAUUUCAUGUGGUCUGCUGCCAAGAAUGCGGAGUAACUCGCAUGCGAGGAGCGCUUACAUAACGUGCCACCCUGUGACAAUACCUGUCUGCAGAGCUUGGCGAUGCCUUGGCACUUGGCAGCCGUUCGCCUUUCCGUGGGAAGUGUCCCUCCCCUUACUGCCCAGCGCAGAACAACCGGCAUUCAAAGUGGCCAAAGACCAUAAAAAAAAAAAAGUCGGUGAUUUCAAAUUGAUUCAUUUUCCCCUGCAGUCAGAAAACUUCUUGGGCUGAUUAUUGCGUUGACAAUAAAAAAGAAAAAAAAAAUGUCCAAACGCAACUUUGUAGUUUUUGUGGUGUUAAAGCAAAGGACAGAAAAAUACCCUAGCAAUAUUUGCUGAGACCCGCUGGCUGCAGGUCUGCAGCGCAUUUCAGUAAGGUGCCGUACGCCUCUGAGGGGCGGUGAUCAUCAGAUAAAAGUUAUUUUUAAAAAGGCAAGCAGAUUCUGGGAUCUGUCAGCGAUGCCAGUUGGGCAAUGGGAUCAAAUAGUUCUCAGAGGUACUAGCAAUAUUGAUUUCAGUGGGUGCUAGGGGUGGGAGCGUGGCUUCUCAUGCUGCUUUAAUGCCUAGUGCUGCCUCACACUUAGUCCUUGAAAAUGCAAUUCAAGCUCUCAUUUUUUUGUGUAAAAAAAAAAAAAAAAGUCAAAUAGUCAAAUGCCAUACCAAGUAGGAGACAUGGGAGUGUCGCUUGGAGACGUGCAGCCAUUCUUCCAUGCUGCCAAACGGCGGUAAGGCCUGAAGAGGAAUUCACCAGAGACUUUUCUCCAGCUGAUGCACGUCUGGAAGUGAACAAUAAGAAGGGUUAAACAGAAAGUUAGGAAACACGAUGUGCAAAGAGGGACUGACAAAAGCACGUUGUGUUCAGUCCAGAGAAGACAAAUAGGCUGCAGCAGAGCGGCCAUCGUAUACGUACAGCGGUGCAGCAAGGAGGAGGGAGUGUUCUGCUCUCCCAUAUGUUUCUUAUAAUGGCUUAAACUGGACUCCAGAGAGUCAGGGGAAAAAAUAGGAAAUCCUUCUGAUGGCAGAGGUAGGUCACUGUUGGAGCAGAUUGCUGGGGGGCU